AGGAGCACAGAGGCCCUGACAGGAGACAUCUACUCCACACCUGGUUGGAACAGAAGCACCGACUGUGACUGAGCCCAGAGAAGAAAGCUGAGGCGUGAGGGACAGAGAGUUACCUGUUGCCUCAUUACUCAAAAGCCAUCCCCAAGCCACUGGAGGGAGAGACCUUUUGUGCUGAGUCCGUCUAGAGGCCACCAGUUCCUCACAGCUCAGCAGAGCUGGAAGAAAGUCAGUCAACACUGAGGAACCACAUGGCUCCUCCUGAAGACCGCUGGGCCUGAAGAGGCCUUGGUGGGGAGGGGUCCAGAAGUGAACAAUGAAAAAGAGGAAGCUGUGGCUUCAACCAGCCUGAGGUGGACGGCAGAGCUCUCUGAGGUCCGGGGCUGGCUGUGACUCUGUGGGGGAAGUCUGGGCUACUUCUGCUUUGGAAAGCUGCUGCGGAACACUGAGGGGUCCCAGCUCACCUGGGCUGGCGGCUGGGCAGAUGCUGGAUGACAGAGCCAGGAUGGAGGCCACCAAGAAGGAAAAGGUAGAGCAGAUCCUGGCAGAGUUCCAGCUGCAGGAGGAAGACCUGAAGAAGGUGAUGAGCCGGAUGCAGAAGGAGAUGGACCGUGGCCUGAAGCUGGAGACCCAUCAGGAGGCCAGUGUAAAGAUGUUGCCCACCUACGUGCGUUCCACCCCAGAAGGCUCAGAAGUUGGAGACUUUCUCUCCUUAGACCUGGGAGGAACCAACUUCAGGGUGAUGCUGGUGAAAGUGGGGGAGGGGGAGGCAGGACAGUGGAGCGUGAAGACGAAACACCAGAUGUAUUCCAUCCCCGAGGACGCCAUGACGGGCACUGCGGAGAUGCUCUUUGACUACAUCUCUGAGUGCAUCUCUGACUUCCUGGACAAGCAUCAGAUGAAACACAAGAAACUACCCCUGGGCUUCACCUUCUCCUUCCCUGUAAGGCACGAAGACAUAGACAAGGGCAUCCUGCUCAACUGGACCAAGGGCUUCAAGGCCUCCGGAGCAGAAGGGAACAACAUCGUGGGACUUCUCCGAGAUGCUAUCAAGAGGAGAGGGGACUUUGAGAUGGAUGUGGUGGCAAUGGUGAAUGACACGGUGGCCACAAUGAUCUCCUGCUACUAUGAAGACCGCCAAUGUGAGGUCGGCAUGAUUGUGGGCACCGGCUGCAACGCCUGCUACAUGGAGGAGAUGCAGAAUGUGGAGCUGGUGGAAGGCGAUGAGGGGCGCAUGUGUGUCAACACAGAGUGGGGCGCCUUCGGGAACUCCGGUGAGCUGGACGAGUUCCUCCUGGAGUACGACCGGAUGGUGGAUGAGAGCUCAGUGAACCCCGGUCAGCAGCUGUAAGGAUGCCCCCCGCCCUCCUAGCCCACCCCAGUGGCUGUGCUGGCUGGGCAUGCCACAGCUGGCUCACAGCACAUAAUAAAUAGCCUGCUUAUAAGCAGCUCUGGGGAGAAGCAAGUUGAUGAGCCAUCUGUGAGCUGGUUCUUUUCUUCAGCUCAGUUAUCCCCUGCCCUGUGAAAUGUGGAGCUGUCAUGGUGGUUAGUAUAAAGUCCCACCUCUCUACUCCUAUAGGUGGCCUCCCACCAGAUGGCCCUGAAAGACCCUUAGCAAGGUUUAUCUGGUUUAAGGAAGAAACUCCCAAAGUACAUAUGCAUGCCAGUUCCACAAAAUAAGAAUUGGCAUUUAGGGGAAUGCUGUGGGUUGGCAGAACAUAGCUUGGGAACCAGCUGCCUUGAGUCAUGGCUACUGCGGGGUAUUGAGGUAUACUCCUCUAAUCUCACCACUUAGGAGGCAGUCAGACAGAUUUCUUCGUGUCCCAGGCCAGCCAGGGAUACAUAGUAAGACCCUGUCUCAAAAUAAAAGUAACUCAGUAAAUAAAAUGAAUCAUGCCUAUCACAAGUUAGUCACCUAUGUGGUACCAUUCUCAUGCUAACUAUUUUAUGAGUUUCCUCACAGACCCUCACGGGCCUCUGUUAGGUCAUUUAAUAUCUGCUGGAUUUCAAGACGAAAAUAUGGAGCCUCACACAUUAGACAAAAAUAUACCAGGCUGCAUGUGCCAUGCCGGGCACCAACCCUGUGAGCCACUGAGAAUGGUUGUCACUAAAUUCCAGGGUGUGGGCUUCACACAAGGCCUGUCACCAGUACGAAAAGAUCAUUGGCGGAAAGUACAUGGGCGAGCUGGUACGACUUGUGCUGCUCAAGCUGGUAGAGGAGAAUCUUCUGUUCCACGGAGAGGCCUCAGAGCAGCUGCGCACACGUGGUGCUUUUGAGACCCGUUUUGUGUCGCAGGUGGAGAGCGACUCUGGGGACCGAAGGCAGAUCCUUAACAUCCUGAGCACUCUGGGCCUUCGACCCUCUGUCGCCGACUGCGACAUUGUGCGCCGUGCCUGUGAAAGCGUGUCCACUCGCGCCGCCCACAUGUGCUCAGCAGGACUAGCGGGGGUCAUAAAUCGCAUGCGCGAAAGCCGCAGUGAGGACGUGAUGCGCAUCACGGUGGGCGUGGAUGGCUCCGUGUACAAGCUGCACCCGAGCUUCAAGGAGCGGUUUCACGCCAGUGUGCGCAGGCUGACACCCAACUGCGAAAUCACCUUCAUUGAAUCAGAGGAGGGCAGCGGCAGGGGAGCCGCACUGGUCUCUGCGGUGGCCUGCAAGAAGGCUUGCAUGCUGGGCCAGUGAAAUCCAGGCAAGGACAGGGACCUGGGUUCCACGGGGACUCCACACCCCACAAAUGCUCCCAGUCCACUAGGGCAGGAGACCUAUUCUGCUGCUACCCCUGGAAAAUGGGGAGAGGCCCCUGCAAGCCAAGUCAGCCAGUGAGACAGCCCUAGGGCUCUCAGCCUGGGGCAAGGGGCAAGAGGAUCAGCGGCACCAAAAGCCUUUCUUGCUAGAAUCAACUACAGAGAAAGGUGAAGCACACUCAGGUCUUGCUCUUUCAGCUUCUGGCCUCCCACAGCUGUGGGUCUGGCCUCCCAAGGGAGUGCCUCCUGGACUUGCAAUGGCCUGGCUUCCCUGGGAACACAUCUCCAUGGGGAGGUAGCUUCAGCAGCUUGGCCAGACCAGACCUGGGCCCCCAGAAGAGUAAGGGCU